UACAGAGGUCUCGAGCGUUAGGCGGAAUCACUGGGCUUAAAGCGUGUGUAGGCGGAUCGGUAAGUACCUUGUGAAAUCCCACAGCUUAACUGUGGAACUGCUUGGUAUACUGCCAGUCUUGAGCCAGCUAGGGGCUACCGGAACAAAUGGUGGAGCGGUGAAAUGCGUAGAUAUCAUUUGGAACGCCAAUGGUGAAAACAGGUAGCUGGGGCUGUGCUGACGCUGAGACACGAAAGCCAGGGGAGCGAACGGGG
rnacentral:rRNA from 1 species